GCAAACUUGGUCAUUUAGAGGAAGUAAAAGUCGUAACAAGGUCUCCGUUGGUGAACCAGCGGAGGGAUCAUUACCGAGUCACGCACUCAAAUAACCCUUCUGUGGACCUAAAUCAAAACCGUUGCCUCGGCGGGCGGUCCCCUACCCAAAAACCCCACGUGGUGCGGGGUAGGGGACCAGACAGUCCGGUACGCUUAAGGCGUCCGGCGCCAGCCGCUGGCCCUAAACAAUUAAACUCUAGUAACUUUACCUUCUGAGUUUUAAUAAAAAAAUAAGUCAAAACUUUCAACAACGGAUCUCUUGGCUCUGGCAUCGAUGAAGAACGCAGC
rnacentral:misc_RNA from 1 species